rnacentral:lncRNA from 1 species
CAAUUUGGGAAAAGGAAUGAUCGCCCAGAUUCACUUGGAACUAGGAUUCUUCAACCAGACAACACCAAUCUUCUGAGUUCUAGAGAGACCAGAAUGACUGCUUAAGGAGCUGAAGAUCUGAGGGGGACCCGACUCAACUCCACUGUGUGACGGUGCAAAUCUCGACCACCAGCGAAGACGCCAGAGUGUAGCACAAGCGCAGAAUUACCUGCUUCAGUCAGCCUCGGCAGUUGUCACCGUUGCUGCUGCUGCGUCCUCCUCCUUCUCUUCUUCCUCUUCCUCCUCCCUCCCCUUCCCCAUCUACCCCACCCCCAUCCCUUCUCCACUCCUUGCAAACUCUGGAGCCGGAAAACCGAUUCCUCUCAGUCUUGCAUUCAGGGAGAUGAACAUGCCAGAGGAAACCUGCUCUAUUUAGGAAGAAUCCGAGGACUCUCCAUCAGGAGAAGUCAAGGUCUCCCCAGCACUUGGCAUGGGAAUCUAGUGAAAGAAAUUAAAAACAUGUGAGAACAGGAUGAGCUCCAGGCUGUCCCUGCCGUGCUGUACGCUGCUGGACUUGUCCCAAAGACGCCUUCUGUGAGACUACAAAAGACGAGUUUACAUUGCAAUCCCUUUAUUUGGUUACAAAAAGCAGUCAUUUUAUCCACCUGUACUUCAAGCUUCAGGGUACUGAAAUAUAUAAGAAUAAGAACAAAAGAGGAAACUUGUCCUUGAACCAUUUCUUUUCCUACCCCACUGAAGAAAUAAAAAGAACAGUGAAAACA